UUAUAGACUUCAAUGUGAAUAGUGCCCCCUAGAAUUGUUCAAGUUGGCAGUACAGAGCCUAAUAUUUGUUGAAAAGAGGCCACAGGCGAUCUACUCUCUCUGCUCAUCUUCCUGAUCCAGUGGCCUCUGAAAUCCUUCUGGCGGCUUCUAAUUGUAAACCUUCUCAUACUUGAAACCUUCCCUGUGUCAGGAUGAGGAAGCUCGUAUGAAGAGUGGGCUGAUUCCAUUUGUUUGCAGUUUAUGAUCAAAUUUGGACAUCUUAUUUCGAAGCGAUAUAAGAAAGGCACUUGAUAAGCUGUCUGCAGCAGUUUCUCCUAAGGGGUCUGCCAAAAACGGUGUGGGAUUUCAGGGUCUGGUUUUCUUUGCCUUCUCCAGGUCUGUUACAUUUCCCAGAAUGGUUCCCAGUGCUGGAGAUAAUUCCUUUUCGGAGAACCUACAUUUCUCACCUGCUGAUUGCAAUUAGCCACUACCAGCUGGGGCCUGGUGUGCAGCUGAAAAGCUAACAAGAAGUGGAGACCACGCGGAACUCAGACAGGGCAUAGGAUGUGCAUAAAUAAGCAACGGUGCCUGUGUUUAUGAGAUGCUCCUGUGAAUUCGAGGCUUCCCCACCCUCUGCAUAACUCUCCCUCUUCUGGCUUUGUGCUGCACACCCCUCCCCUAACUAUAUUUUUUGUCUCUGGUUUUGUAGCCUACGUUUAACAUCACAGUCACGAAUUUACCACUAAGUACAUUUUGUUAGGCAAUAAACAGCCUUGGAAGAAAAAUGAAAUCCGACUAGGACUUCUGUUCUAAUAAUGUCUGUGAGCUGUGGUGGAUUCAGGCAGGCCCCACAUGCAGGUCUUAGAGCUAACCUUGACCAUGAGGGCUAGUGGGGCUGGGAGAGGGCUCAGGGACCCCAAUUCAACUCCCUUAUUUUAUGGGGGAGGAUACUGAAUCCCAGAACGGGAGCAUGGCCUGUCCAAAGUCUUAAAGGAAGUCACAGGACUGGAUGAAGCCCAUGUCUCCCAAACCCCAGC
rnacentral:lncRNA from 10 species